rnacentral:rRNA from 1 species
AGCAGCCGCGGUAAUUCCAGCUCCAAUAGCGUAUAUUAAAGUUGUUGCAGUUAAAAAGCUCGUAGUUGAACUUCGGGGUUUACGUCAUUGGUCAGGCUUAAUUGUCUGUACUGGUGAGAUGAAUCUCUACCUUCUGAGGAACUUUUAUGCCAUUUAUUUGGUGUGAUGGGAAAUCAGGACUGUUACUUUGAAAAAUUAGAGUGUUUAAAGCAGGCUAACGUCUGAAUACAUUAGCAUGGAAUAAUGAAUAGGACGGAUUGAUUCUAUUCGUUGGUUUCUAGGGUCACCGUAAUGAUUAAUAGGGAUAGUUGGGGG